rnacentral:rRNA from 1 species
AGUCGACGGACGAAUGAGUGAAGUUUAUUUUUCUUAUGAGUUAGUGGCGGACGGGUGACUAACACGUGUAUAAUCUACCUGCUACACCGGUAUAACGCUGUGAAAACGGUGCUAAUACCGGAUACCUUCCCUUGGACGCAUGUCUGACGGAAGAAAGCUCCGACGGUUGCAGAUGAGUCCGCGGCUGAUUAUCUAGUUGGUGAGGUAACGGCCCACCAAGGCGAUGAUCAGUAUCCGGCCUGAGAGGGUGAACGGCCACACUGGGACUGAGACACGGCCCAGACUCCUGCGGGAGGCAGCAGUGGGGAAUCUUCCGCAAUGGGCGCUAGCCUGACGGAGCUACGCCGCGUGAGCGAAGAUGGCCUUCGGGUUGUAAAGCUCUGUCUUAUGGGACGAAGUCAGUGACGGUACCUUAAGAGGAAGCCACGGCUAACUACGUGCCAGCAGCCGCGGUAAUACGUAGGUGGCGAGCGUUGUCCGGAAUUACUGGGCGUAAAGGGCGCGCAGGCGGGUUUUUAAGUCAGAUGUGUAAUCUACA